GUGGGGAAUCUUGCGCAAUGGGCGAAAGCCUGACGCAGCCAUGCCGCGUGAAUGAUGAAGGUCUUAGGAUUGUAAAAUUCUUUCACCGGGGACGAUAAUGACGGUACCCGGAGAAGAAGCUCCGGCUAACUUCGUGCCAGCAGCCGCGGUAAUACGAAGGGGGCUAGCGUUGCUCGGAAUUACUGGGCGUAAAGGGCGCGUAGGCGGACAGUUUAGUCAGAGGUGAAAGCCCAGGGCUCAACCUUGGAAUUGCCUUUGAUACUGGGUGUCUUGAGUACGGGAGAGGUGAGUGGAACUCCGAGUGUAGAGGUGAAAUUCGUAGAUAUUCGGAAGAACACCAGUGGCGAAGGCGACUCACUGGCCCAAUACUGACGCUGAGGCGCGAAAGCGUGGGGAGCAAACAGGAUUAGAUACCCGUGUAGUCC
rnacentral:rRNA from 1 species